rnacentral:lncRNA from 1 species
GAACCAUUGGCCAUUCCUAUUGCUUUAUUUUGAAGUCCCUAUUAACUUUUACCAUUGGAAUGGGUUUAAGAGUGCUCAGAAGAGGGUGUCCUCUCUUGUGGAAGUUAUAUCUAAGGGGUAAUAUAAGUUGUAUAUCUUAGGAAUAGCUUGUAUUGACAUAGAUACUGGUCAUGUAAUAGGUGUUCAAAUAUCUGUGGAACAUUGAAGAAAUGAAUGAAUGAAUUGAAAACCAAUGGAGAAAAAUAUUCUCUGAGGACAGGUUAUCCUUUUAUGUUUAUGAUUGCUCUAAGUUUUUAAAGUUUAUAAAGUUCUGGAGUUUCCCCUAAAUGGAAAA